GUUGAGGUGGCCGAGAGGUCUAAGGCAUCCGACUUAAGUUAAGCAACUUCUAUCGGAGGAGUGAAAGCUCAUCGUGGGUUCGAACCCCACCCUCAACA